AAGUAAUCCUGAAGGAGGUGGAGUAAUUGUGUAUUUGGAGUACAGUAUUGGGUAAAUUAGGACUUUCUUUUGAAUGGCAAUUCAAACAAAAACUGUACCUGGCUGCUCAGCUCUGGUGUAGAAAUUAUUUUGCUGGACUUGCUUCAAGAACUAAAGCUGCGGCUCCUGCUGUCUCCAACAGCAGGGGAGUGCUUGCAGUAGAAAGCUGCAUUAUUUUUUUUUUUUUUAACAUGAGGGAAACUGCAGUUUAUGGGAUGCUGGGUCAGGUCAAGGAGGGCUUUAGUCUUCAAAUACCAACAGGUUGUAUGUGUUGGAUUCAGAGAAGGAUGGGGUGGAAUACAAGUUGAAUUUCCAGUUUUAGGCAUUACCGGCGGAAGGAGGAGGAAGUGUAGUGGGCAAGUUGGACUGUAACAGCAGGUUGGUGGGACUGUGGUCCCUAUUAUGUGGUUGGAAACUGCUGACGAGAAGGUAAUAAUCGCUCUUGAGUUUGAGGCAAGAUGGCCAAAAAUAUGUAAUGAUCCCUUCUCUCUCCCCUUUUGUCCUUUUCGACGGUACCAGACUGCUGAGGUACAAAAUCUGUUCCUGGGAGGUCCAACAUCAAAUAGCCUAUGGCUACAAUUUUUGAAUGGGUGUCAAAACUCUGCUAUUUCCUUUCAUGUUCGCUUGGUCCCACCAAAAUCGGUGUGUUUGUACCUGGUCACUGCUGGGAGCAGCAGGCACAGCCUGUUUCAAGGCCAAGUGCCUUUGCUAUGGCAAACCCCUUGUGCUUUUUUGCCCCGCAGUGCAGUAAACUGACGUGUGGGAGGAAGCGAUGGCAUCAGAGCAGCCUGCUGUCUGCUGCUUUGUGGACCAAACCACCUGGGAGCUCCUCAACCUGCUGGACAUAGUGGGGAGGCAGAACGGACGGGUGCUGGUGGUGGAGGUGGAUGAUGAGAAUGAGAGAACUCCCUCGGUGCUGGUGGAUUUUGUCCAGGACCUGUGUGGCACAGCUGACAUCAGGGCUAAACUGCAGCAGGCGGAGGGGAUGGAAGAGAAGGAUGAUGUUCGGCCACAUCUGAUUUUUAUGCUGUGGCAAGCCGCCAUGUUGAAGAAGUUGAUGCGGUGGGAUCACCUGGACGAGGCCCUCUGGGAUGUGAGGAACCUCCUCCCCUGCCUGCCGGACGUGCUGGUGCUUGUGAUGAUCCACCCGGACCACCAGGAGCAGCUGGACCAGACAGUGAGAGCACUCAGGAGAAUGCAGUGUCUGCUGGAUGGGGCCUGGCAACUGGUGGUGGAGGCAGCAGUCUACAGCCCAGGCCAGCCUGGUGGUAGCCUCGAGGCAAAGAGAGCUGCAUGUAGAGCACUGAGAGAAGUCCUAAACUGCCAUGAAGAAGUCAACUCCCAGCAUCCAUUUAUUGUUUCGCUCCCAAAGUUCAGUUACUGCUGUGCUCUGCCUGAACAUAUGCGACACAAGGCAUCAAAGACAGCUGGAGAAUGAAUUCCCAGAAUCUGGCAGAUCUUGUAUCCACCUGAGAUCUUAACUAUCACCACAAGAAGUAUUAAAAAGCUGGUAUUUAUUUCAUUUCCCCGUGUGUCGGUGUGUACCUAUAAGCUUUAAAGCUGUACACCAAAGAGUGGGAAACUCCUGCUGAAGCUGCAGGGUUGGCGAGUUUUCAUGCGAUAGCUCUGCUGCCGGGCUGGCAGGAGCGCUGCGAUCCAGCAAAGCGAGAACAAGCGGCGGUGGCCUGACACCUCUCCAGCCAGCUCAGCUAGAGCCUGACGAGGAGACACACCAGAAAGCAUGAGGAGUACUGCUGCAUGGCCCAGAAGUCUGCCAGGCGUAACAGGUCUCCUCCCGGGACAGACGAGAACAACCUGCUCUGCUCAGCUGGCAUCGUACCCUGUGAGAGCAGCAGGGAGCAGCCAUCCUGUGGGCUGCUGGCAUAUGAGCAUCUGGGCACUAACUCUGGAGGAAGAUCUUGAUCAAGACAGCACCUGAGCCGAGCUUUGCCAUCCAGACCAAGCUUUGCCCAUUUCCAAAAAACCCUCGGCCUAGCCCUGCUCCUCACUGAUCUGGCACAUCGUGUCUACGUGCCAGGACAAAGUCCGAUUGCCCUUUGGUGCAAUCCUGUGGCGUGCCAGGAGGGCACCUUGCCAGCUGCUUACCUGUGGCCUCUUUCAGGGCUCCAUAUUGUCAGACCAAGCCACUCCAAACCCACCUGCUCCAGCCUGGGAAGCUGAUGGAUCUGCCCUUUGCCUUUAUAAAGGGAGCAGUUCUGAGAACCUGGGGCCUUGGCCUGUGCCAGGGGUUUUGUGGGAAGGAGGCAGGAGGAUGCAAGAGGGAGUGUGAGGAAGGCAGGAGGGGCUGUGUUCGCAUGCAGUGGUCCCCAACCACAGGUGUCCAGCUCAGUGGGGUCUGGGGUAACUUCUAAGAGGUUCUGCAAAGGGUGAGCACACAAAAAGCUGGACUGCUGGUGUAAAAGGGACAUGUGUACUGGGGAAAAAAUGAAGGCUGGUGGCUGCGGACAGCUAGUCCUGGGUCCUGUUGUCAAACCGAAGGCAAUGGAACAGCUGAGGCUCUGGCAGGACAGCUGGGAGAAGGCCAGAAGAGGCAGCCAUGUUCUUGGGUCUGAUAUUGCCAGACAGUUUUUGAACAUCUUCCCAGUGGGGAAGCAAAGAACGGAGCAGGCUGGGGGGCGGCAGCCUCCACUGCUGUCUAAGGGGACAGGCAGAGACAUCCCUCCUACCUCAUGAUGAGGACUGCCCCAACACCACGGGUUCUCCACACACGGCCCUGUGACAGAUCCCCACCCUCCUCUUCAGAAAUACCUUCCUGUGCCCCUCUGCCAUCCAGAAAGGGAUGGUCACUCAAGGAAACAUAGGGAAAAUUAGGACGGCUGCAGAGAUGGGCAGGAUGAGGCAUGGCUUUCAAAGGGAAUGGGAUUUUGGAGAAGAGAGGCAGGGAAAGGUUUGGGGUUCCCCAUCAGGAAGCAGGCUGUGUCCAAGCGGGACUUCCCAGCUUUAUUUGCUUAUGGGGUGUAACGUCUGCUGAGCAGAGCUCAGGGAGGUGUGAUGACUUGGACGGAUCCAGGUCAGGACUGAGUCGGCACAGGCUGCCAGGGGACAAAAAAUGGGGCUGCCUCAGUGGUCCCUGGAGGUGGCUGGGUCCAGGGCGUGGGGAGAUGGGAUAGAACAAAGUGACCAUCCAGUUUGGAUUGAGUUGUGACUGAACUUGUCACGGGCAGGAUCCCUGUCUGGUUUGAUACAGUUCAAGCUUCAGUGGGUGAAGAGCUCAGUGAGUGUUGGUGCCCCACAGCAAAGCUCCUGCUGGCAGCUGGUAGCGCUGCUCAAGUAAAGCAGAUGUUCUCCAGCAUCUCACAAUGAUGGUGUGUUUUUUCCAAAGCAGUAAGUGGCAGCAGGUUUGGAGAGCAGGUCUGUGAAAGAGCACUUGUGCAAAUGUUUGCUAAGGCUUAGCUUGUCAGCAGCCAGUUCCUGCUCCUGCCCGGCUCAGGGGCUUUUCCAAGUGCCCCCGUGAACACCGAGGCUGCCGAGAAGAAGAGUUUAAGGAGCCGGGAUGGGUCAUUGGACACAGGGGCUCAGCGCUGCUCCCACAGGUUCCUUCUUGCUCAGUUAGCCUCUCUGCACGCCUAUCGUCAAAAUUGGCAUGAGAAUCCUUUUUCCCCAUCCUCUUUCUGCUCUCUUCAGAAAAUAGGUUAAUCUUGGUAAAUGCAUCUCUUAAAGGGCCUAAUCUAAUGGACCUUUGAUUUUGUUUAGAAUUAAAGGCACUACUAAUACACAUGAUAAAUUUAUUUCUCUGAACAAAGCAUCUUCUCUUCCUCCUUUGAAGUCCAAAAUGAGCAGAUGUUGUGUUUGCUCUGAAGAGCCAUGGGCAUAUGUAAGAGAUGUGAUUACCCUCAUUUAGGGCUAUCUGUAGAGAUUUUUGACAAAUGUGGCUGUCAGGUGGGUGUUUGAAGGAGUGAGAGGCCUUGAAAAUUCAUCUGUGUUUUUGCUCUGAUGCCCGCCAGAGCUCUGCAGUCACUUUGUUGGGGACUACAAAUACUGCUGAGCUCAUGAC